rnacentral:tRNA from 1 species
GGUUGUAGCUCAGUGGUAGAGCUCUUGCCUAGCAUGUGUGAGACACUGGGUUCAUCCUCAGCCCCGCAUAUAAAUAAAAUAGUUCUAUCAGCAACUCAAAUAUAUAUAUAUUUUUAAAUAUGGAAAAAGGAUUGAGAAUGUAGCUUAGAGGUAUAGUGCUUACAUUAUAUGCAUAUGGCCCAGGGUUCUAUCCCCAGCACCA